AUACCAACGGGCCUUAGCAACGGGGCGGAACAGGAAAGUGGGGCUGUUCCCCUCGGAGCAGCCCCUCUCGCUUCCAACGGCAUGGCUCAGGUCUGCCUCGUGCAGAGGGCUUCGUCUGCAAGAGGAGGCUCAACUCCUGCGCAGCUCCGGCCCUGCCCGCAGGAAGAAGUGCAGGUGGUGGUGGUGCUGGGCUUGCUUCUGGGCCCGGUGCUGCCCUGCUUCCCCAUCCCCUGAACCCAGGUAGGGUAUGGCAGAAGAGCCCUGCUGCAGAGGGAAUCUGAGGCCCUGCUGCAUCCCACCAGGACUAGAGAGCAGGUGUGUAGCUGGGGAGUUCAGCAUAAGCCCGCAGUGAGCAGGAAGGGAAACACCUGCAUUUCCAGGGAAGAAGAACUGGAGGGAUGGACAGGCUUAGCACACAGGAGAAAGGAGAGAGCAGGAUGCUUCAGGAUGGCUGUCUGCUGCUCUGCUCUAAGGGAAAGCAUGCAGCAUGAAGCCUUCCUCCCGCAGCCUGGGAGGAGAUGUGCCUGCUCCUGUCGCCCUUCUCCUCGCAGUGGUCUGCACAAGAUGUCAGCACAGGGCCUGCUCCUCCUGCCCUCUGCUGCUGUCCUUGCCAGGCUGUCAGCCUGUCACUGGAACAAAGGCUGGCACUGACAGGGCCCCAUGCACCGUCACUGACACAUCCAGACCAUGCCCUUGUCACUCCUGUCCUUACUGGGAUGUCUGUCCCCCUCUCCCCCCUCCCCAUCUCCUCCUCACCUGCUGCUUGUGGCCGCUGGUGUGCACAGCUUCAGCACGCUGUGCCCACGGCAGUUCUGUCCUUGUCCUCCUAAGCAGGCACUGCUGGGACAGAACAGCCACUGGGCAGAGGCCAGCUGAUUUGUGCCAUGCGGGACCUCUUCUGCCCCAGCCUCAUCUGGAGCGGCAGUUUCUCCCUAGCAGCUCCUGCAAUAGGGGUUGCUCUUUCCCAGCACCCUUCUACUGUGUCUGUGUCCCCUCCGAUGGGGCUCAUACCACAAAGAGCCAGCUCCCAGUGACAUCAGAGACAUGUCCUCCACACAGCUGAGCUCUGGGCUGCCUCAGUACCCAUGAGCAGACAUGGCUUUUGCCAGAACCACAGAAAUGUACAUCUUUGCUAACCCUCCUUCUUUAGCAAUAAUGUAUUUUAGCUUCCCGGAUGCAAUGAUCUAGCUACAGAAGCACAAGAUUUAAAAAUACUGACUUCAUAGUUGAUUUCCUUUGCUCAUUUUACUCCCAGGAAUGCCUCUGGAUCCAGUUUUUAUGUUUGCAAGUGUGAGAGCUACAACAACUUUUAUUUUUGAAGGUUUUUUGCUCUGGCAAACCCUGGGACUUCUGGAGUAUCAGAAAUAGGUGGCUGUAUCAGCGAGGAAAGAUCCUGCCAAGCAAGCUCCAAGGCAGGCAUAUUUCUGAGAAGUAAACCUCACCCAGCCCCAAUCAGGUACUAGCAAGGACAAAGAUGAGCAUGACCCAGCAACAAUCACCAGUUCCUUUAGCUGCAUGGACACUCUGCACAUGCAGAGAACGUUUCAGGAGCAGCUCUGCUGGAAAUGCUGCCCUAAGUUUGAAUUUUGCUGCAGUCAGCUCCAGCCUGCAGGAGACUUUGAUCUUUCAGAGCAGAGAUGGCUGGACCCACCUCAUAUGAGCGAAUUGUCCUACCUGACCCUACAGGAAGAACAUCAAGAUCUUGGAAGUGUGGUACCCAAUGAAUCCAUCUCCCUCGUACUGCACAAGGAGAUGGAGCCCAUGGGAAGAGCAGAACAUGCUGCCUUGCUGAAGGGCUUCACCUAGAGUAGACAGAUCCUCUGCUGCAUGGAAAGGAUGUUUUCCUGCUUGCUGAUUGCUGCAGCAUCACCAUGGGCAGAAUUCACCUUUCAUCCAGAUAAAUCAUCACCUGGGCUUGCCUGCUU